CGCCCACUCUCUCUUGGCCUUUAGGCUUCGGCGCACGAAUGGGUUCCGCUCGCAAGGACUGAAGUGGACGUAUUUCCUGUUUGAGGUGCCCUCUGAUUGUGUGGCACUGAGGAUACUAAAGGGAUAUAGGUCCCUCCGGGCGUCCGGAGAGCUUCUACUGCUGCUGGUUGGAGGAAACAGAAACUUUCUCCAGGACUGGUGACUGGCUGUUGUUGCCCUGGGCCUUAUUUUGAGAUAAGGCCAUCUUUUCAUUAGGCUUUCAAGGAGGCAACAUUUCCUUUCAUUCUCUGAUACAACCCAAAUAAACCAAAUAUGUUCCACGUCAGGAGUUUCACCGUCUUCGGAUGGCUCUCAAAUGUUGAAGCGAGCGCGGCCGGAGGUGCCCAGCCUGGAGCUGGGCCCUCCGAGCCCCAGCUGGAUGGACCAGCUCGUCGGGUCUCCCCCCGGUGUGGAGAAGACGACGGCGCCC